rnacentral:rRNA from 1 species
UGCAAGUCGAGCGGACCGACGGGAGCUUGCUCCCUUAGGUCAGCGGCGGACGGGUGAGUAACACGUGGGUAACCUGCCUGUAAGACUGGGAUAACUCCGGGAAACCGGGGCUAAUACCGGAUGCUUGAUUGAACCGCAUGGUUCAAUCAUAAAAGGUGGCUUUUAGCUACCACUURCAGAUGGACCCGCGGCGCAUUAGCUAGUUGGUGAGGUAACGGCUCACCAAGGCGACGAUGCGUAGCCGACCUGAGAGGGUGAUCGGCCACACUGGGACUGAGACACGGCCCAGACUCCUACGGGAGGCAGCAGUAGGGAAUCUUCCGCAAUGGACGAAAGUCUGACGGAGCAACGCCGCGUGAGUGAUGAAGGUUUUCGGAUCGUAAAACUCUGUUGUUAGGGAAGAACAAGUACCGUUCGAAUAGGGCGGUACCUUGACGGUACCUAACCAGAAAGCCACGGCUAACUACGUGCCAGCAGCCGCGGUAAUACGUAGGUGGCAAGCGUUGUCCGGAAUUAUUGGGCGUAAAGCGCGCGCAGGCGGUUUCUUAAGUCUGAUGUGAAAGCCCCCGGCUCAACCGGGGAGGGUCAUUGGAAACUGGGGAACUUGAGUGCAGAAGAGGAGAGUGGAAUUCCACGUGUAGCGGUGAAAUGCGUAGAGAUGUGGAGGAACACCAGUGGCGAAGGCGACUCUCUGGUCUGUAACUGACGCUGAGGCGCGAAAGCGUGGGGAGCGAAAGGGAUUAGAUACCCUGGUAGUCCACGCCGUAAACGAUGAGUGCUAAGUGUUAGAGGGUUUCCGCCCUUUAGUGCUGCAGCAACGCAUUAA